rnacentral:rRNA from 1 species
UGGGGAAUAUUGGACAAUGGGCGAAAGCCUGAUCCAGCCAUGCCGCGUGUGUGAAGAAGGUCUUCGGAUUGUAAAGCACUUUAAGUUGGGAGGAAGGGCAGUAAGCGAAUACCUUGCUGUUUUGACGUUACCGACAGAAUAAGCACCGGCUAACUCUGUGCCAGCAGCCGCGGUAAUACAGAGGGUGCAAGCGUUAAUCGGAAUUACUGGGCGUAAAGCGCGCGUAGGUGGUUCGUUAAGUUGAAUGUGAAAGCCCCGGGCUCAACCUGGGAACUGCAUCCAAAACUGGCGAGCUAGAGUAGGGCAGAGGGUGGUGGAAUUUCCUGUGUAGCGGUUAAAUGCGUAGAUAUAGGAAGGAACACCAGUGGCGAAGGCGACCACCUGGGCUCAUACUGACACUGAGGUGCGAAAGCGUGGGGAGCGAACAGG